GCUUACCAAUUACAUUUUAGGUACAAACUAACUCCUCUAUGUGAAGGACAGCUCUGUUGCAGCCAGAUUUCAGUGCAUGAGGGAGGAAUUUGAUAAGAUUGGGAUGAGAAGAAGGGGUUUUGAUUGUUCAUGAGCACCACCUGCCUGUGUUAUUGCUACAUCUGGGAACAACUUUCUUCAAAUUACCUGGUAGUGAACCUGACCCAGGAGAAGAUGAAGUUGAAGGACUAAAACGCUUAAUGACAGAGAUAUCAGGUCAUCCAGAUGGAGUCCUAAAAGACUGGGUCAUUGAUGACUGCAUUGGGAACUAGUGGAGACCAAAUUUUGAACAUUCUCAGUAUUUAUAUAUUUCACAACAUAUAACAGAGCCCAAGGAACAUAAGAAGUUGUUUCUGGUUCA
rnacentral:lncRNA from 1 species